UCUCUCUGUGCAUAUAAUCCAACUAAAUAAUUACUUUGCACUAUGUUCUGGCCAUAUUAACGCAGUGGAUUGUCUUAAGUCGGACUGUGCCAGGGCUCUGCGCUGUUUGGAGAUUUGAAAAGUGUUCUUUUGCUGCGCUCUGUGGGUUAAUAACCUCUCCACGCACUAUAACCACUGCGUUUUGAUCCCGGUAAUACGUUGGAUAGAGCGUUUUUCUGGCUUGCCCACGGCUUGGACCACUCUACAGAAGACCUGUCGCCCCGUGGUUGCAAACUCUUUGUGGCCCCACAUACCGCCGCUGUGAUUAUAGAAGUGCCUCCUCUCCCUUGUUAAAGAAGCAAAGCUCUAAUCUAGCCUCUGUGUCGCCCCCAAAGCCAGCGUGCUAUAGUGAAAAUGUGCGUGCGCGCGUGCGCGUGUGCGCGCAUGUGUGAUGGGAAGAGUGAGUGGGGGUCGGUCGGAACGAGAGA